rnacentral:lncRNA from 1 species
CCAAUCCCCCCUUUUCGAUGCCCGGAUUCCCAUUCCGGGACCAAAAAAGCCCAUUUUUUUUCAGCCCAAACCCCACAUUUCGGAUUUGGGGGUCCUCAAUUUGGGGCCAUUUGGGUUUUUGGGGCCAUUUCGAGGUUUUUCGGAGCCGUUUCGGGGUUUUUUGGGGGCCAUUUCAGGGUUUUUUUGGGGCCAUUUCGGGGCCGUCUCAGCGCUGGGAACACCGAAACCCGCUCUUAACGAGUCCCCGUCUCCCUCAGCGCCCGGCGGGGGCGUUAAUCAGCCUUAAUUAGAGGCGGGGCGGCCGCAGACGUUAAUUAGAGGCGCCGCGCGGCUGUUAAUUACAGGGGAGCGCCGUGCGGGGGCGGGGAGCGCUGCGAGCGGCGGAAACAGCCGAGCGGGGGCGGGAGGAGCCGAGCGAGGCCGGAAACAGCCGAGCGUGGGCGGGGGGAGGAGGGCAGAGCCGAGCGAGGCCGGAAAGGGCCGAGAUGGGGCGGAAGGAGCCGAGCGCUUCCGGAAAUAGUCGAGCGUGGGCGGGGGGAGGAGGGGAGAGCCGAGCGAAGCCGGAAAGGGCCGAGGAGAACCGGAAAGGGCCGAGAGAGGACGGAAGAAGCCGAGUGGGGGCGGCAGAAGACGAAAGGGACCGGAAAGAGCCGAGCGGGGCCGGAAAGGGCCGAGCGCUUCCGAAAGGAGCCGAGUGGGGGCAGAAGAAACUGGGGAAGACCGGAAAGAGCCGAGCGGGGCCGGAAGGAGCCGAGCUCUUCCGGAAAGGGCCGAAAGGGGGCGGGAGAAGCCGAGGGGGAACGGAAAGAGCCGAGCGGGGGGCCGAAGAAAUCGAGCGAUUCCGGAAGCAGCCUAGUGGGGCCGGAAGAGACGGAAGCCGGGACCGGAAGAGGCCCGAGCAGAGACCGGAAGAGUCCCGAGCAGAGACCGGAAGCGGAAGUCCCCGCGCAGGCGAGCCAAGAUGGCGGCCACGUGCGAUCACUGCGCGGCCGCCGGCGCUCCGUACACGUGUCCCCGCUGCAACCGCCGCCUCUGCUCCCUCGGCUGCUACCGCGGGCACGGGGCCUGCGCCGAGGCCUUCUACCGCGAGCAGGUGCUGCGGGAACUGCGCUCCGAACCGCC